rnacentral:rRNA from 1 species
UAGGGAAUAUUGCACAAUGGAGGAAACUCUGAUGCAGCGACGCCGCGUGAGUGAUGAAGGAUUUCGGUCUGUAAAGCUCUGUUGUCAGGGAAUAAAAAAAUGAAUGUACCUGACGAGAAAGGGACGGCUAACUUCGUGCCAGCAGCCGCGGUAAUACGAAGGUCCCAAGCGUUGUUCGGAAUCAUUGGGCGUAAAGCGAGUGCGGGUGGCUUUUUAAGUCAGGAGUGAAAGCCCAGGGCUCAACCCUGGAAGUGCUUUUGAUACUGGAAAGCUUGAAUGUGGCAGAGGGUGCUAGAAUACCUAGUGUAGUGGUGAAAUACGUAGAUAUUAGGUGGAACACCGGUGGCGAAGGCGGGCACCUGGGCCAACAUUGACACUUAGACUCGAAAGCGUGGGGAUCAAACAGG